GACGAACGCUGGCGGCGUGCUUAACACAUGCAAGUCGAACGGAAAGGCCCUGCUUUUGUGGGGUGCUCGAGUGGCGAACGGGUGAGUAACACGUGAGUAACCUGCCCUUGACUUUGGGAUAACUUCAGGAAACUGGGGCUAAUACCGGAUAGGAGCUCCUGCUGCAUGGUGGGGGUUGGAAAGUUUCGGCGGUUGGGGAUGGACUCGCGGCUUAUCAGCUUGUUGGUGGGGUAGUGGCUUACCAAGGCUUUGACGGGUAGCCGGCCUGAGAGGGUGACCGGGCACAAUGGGACUGAGAUACGGCCCAGAAUCCUACGGGAGGCAGCAGUGGGGAAUAUUGCACAAUGGGCGGAAGCCUGAUGCAGCAACGCCGCGUGCGGGAUGACGGCCUUCGGGUUGUAAACCGCUUUCGCCUGUGACGAAGCGUGAGUGACGGUAAUGGGUAAAGAAGCACCGGCUAACUACGUG
rnacentral:rRNA from 1 species